AGUCACCUGCAUGUGUCUGACCGUGGAGGAAAUUGUGGUUCAGUUCACCAAGGGACUUGUACAACUCUGCAUUAAGGAAAUGUUCUGGUAAAGCCACUGCUGCCCCCCCACACCAGUGAAAAAUGCAACUGAAGAAAUGGCUGAGGAUCUUUCAAGAUGAUCCUGAGCAAAGAAGACACAAAAGUGCUGAUGCUCCACAGCAAGGGUUGUGUUCUGACAAGUGGAGAUGAUCUAUCGUGACACAGAUACGAUGAUACAAUCCUGAAAUGGGGCCACCCAUAAUGACUUGAUGCUGUUCGUCAUGCCUCUGAUCUUUAUUGUUAUUAUCACUACACUUACUGGCCCAUGGCUCCGAGCGUUAGUUAGCACAGCAGCUUGCUCGCUGGUGCUCAUGGAGCUGAUGUUUGCCUCACAAGUGCUGGAGGCAGUGGUUAUAUUGCUGGCAGCAAACACUCACAGUAAUUGAUUUUUUGAUGAAAAAGUUGUCAACAAAACUUCUAGUUUUUUUUUUUUUUCUUGCGCUACUUGGCAAUAGCUAGCCUUUUUUUAUUCCCCUCACAGCAACAUAUGAAUUUACAAGAGAAAUUAAUUAAAAGUGAAGCGACUAUAUUUC